rnacentral:rRNA from 1 species
GUGGGGAAUAUUGGACAAUGGGGGCAACCCUGAUCCAGCCAUGCCGCGUGAGUGAUGAAGGCCCUAGGGUUGUAAAGCUCUUUUGUGCGGGAAGAUAAUGACGGUACCGCAAGAAUAAGCCCCGGCUAACUUCGUGCCAGCAGCCGCGGUAAUACGAAGGGGGCUAGCGUUGCUCGGAAUCACUGGGCGUAAAGGGUGCGUAGGCGGGUCUUUAAGUCAGGGGUGAAAUCCUGGAGCUCAACUCCAGAACUGCCUUUGAUACUGAAGAUCUUGAGUAUGGGAGAGGUGAGUGGAACUGCGAGUGUAGAGGUGAAAUUCGUAGAUAUUCGCAAGAACACCAGUGGCGAAGGCGGCUCACUGGCCCAUAACUGACGCUGAGGCACGAAAGCGUGGGGAGCAA